rnacentral:rRNA from 1 species
CUYGAUGGUAGUGUAUUGGACUACCAUGAGGAUAACGGGUACGAGGAAUUAGGGUUCGAUAUCGGAGAGGGAGCCUGAGAAACGGCUACCACUUCUAAGGAAGGCAGCAGGCGCGUAAAUUACCCAAUCCCGACUCGGGGAGGUAGUGACAAGAAAUAAUAACGCGGAUACUUUUUAGUAUGACGUGAUUAAAAUGAGAACAAUCUAAAAAACUUAUCGAGGAACAAUGAGAGGACAAGUCUGGUGCCAGCACCCGCGGUAAUUCCAGCUCUUAUAGUGUAUAUUAAAGUUGUUGCAGUUAAAAAGCUCGUAGUCGAUCAUCUAGUUGCGAUCCACGCGGCUUCYAGUCGUGUGGCGUCGCUGCUAUCAGCUCGAGAACGGAGARCGGCCUUWACUGGUCGGCUCCGCAGAUCGGGCACUUUCCUGAGAAAAAAUUAGAGUGUUCAAAGCAGGUCAUUGCCUUGAAUAUUACAGCUUGGAAUAAUAGAAUAAGACUGAAGUCGCUUUUGUUGGUUAUGAGGCUUUAGUAAUGGUUAAUAGAAACAGUCGGGGGCAUUAGUAUUUAAUUGUCAGAGGUGAAAUUCUUGGAUUUAUUAAAGACUAACUUAUGCGAAAGCAUUUGCCAAGGAUGUUUUCAAUUGAUCAAGAACGAAAGUUAGGGGAUCAAAGACGAUCAGAUACCGUC